UGCAAGUCGCACGGAGGCAUUUUUGUAGCAAUACACGGAUGUCUGAGUGGCGCACGGGUGAGUAACACGUGAAUGACAUGCCCUUCAGAGGGGGAUAGCCCAGGGAAACUUGGAUUAAUACCCCAUGGUCCUGCAAAGGUAAAGGUGGCGCAAGCUGCCGCUGGAGGAUUGGUUCGCGGCCUAUCAGCUUGUUGGCGGGGUAACGGCCCACCAAGGCGAUGACGGGUACCUGGUCUGAGAGGACGAUCAGGCACACUGGAACUGAGACACGGUCCAGACACCUACGGGUGGCAGCAGUCGAGAAUAAUUCACAAUGGGGGCAACCCUGAUGGUGCAACGCCGCGUGGAGGAUGAAGGUCCUCGGAUUGUAAACUCCUGUCAUCCGGGAGCAAGACCUGACGGUGAAUAGCCGGCAGGGUUGAUAGUACCGGAAGAGGAAGGGACGGCUAACUUCGUGCCAGCAGCCGCGGUAAUACGAAGGUCCCGAGCGUUGUUCGGAAUCACUGGGCGUAAAGGGAGCGUAGGCGGCGUGGCAAGUCAGAUGUGAAAUCCCGGGGCUCAACCCCGGAACUGCAUCCGAUACUGCCGUGCUAGAGGAUUGGAGAGGUAGCUGGAAUUCACGGUGUAGCAGUGAAAUGCGUGGAUAUCGUGAGGAACACUCGUGGCGAAAGCGAGCUACUGGACAACUCCUGACGCUGAGGCUCGAAGGCCGGGGGAGCGAAAGGGAUUAGAUACCCCUGUAGUCCCGGCAGUAAACGGUGCGCGCUUGGUGUGGCGGGAAUCGACCCCUGCCGUGCCGGAGCAAACGC
rnacentral:rRNA from 1 species